rnacentral:tmRNA from 1 species
GGGGGUGCACUGGUUUCGACGGGGAUGGACGAGGCACUGUAAGCGAGCCGUGGACCCUGGCCACGUUAAAACGGGGAAAUAAAAGUAACUGACAACAAUCAGAAUUACGCUUUCGCGGCCUAAGGCCCGAACGUCGACCUUGAGCGCUCACGGCUUAAGACAAUCGGCGUCAAUAAUGUGAGGAACUGGUGCAUCUAAGCUUUGCGAUGUACCCGAACGAUGAAGCUACCGACCCCAAGAGCCUGCCACUCGGCGCUUGGGCGGGGGAAUCGUAAUAGAUAGGCUACGCUCGUAGAAAACGGUGUUGGCGUGUUCUCGGACAGGGGUUCGAUUCCCCUCACCUCCACCA